rnacentral:rRNA from 1 species
ACGAACGCUGGCGGCAUGCCUAACACAUGCAAGUCGAACGAGACCUUCGGGUCUAGUGGCGCACGGGUGCGUAACGCGUGGGAACCUGCCCUUAGGUUCGGAAUAACUCCCCGAAAGGGGUGCUAAUACCGGAUAAUGUCUUCGGACCAAAGAUUUAUCGCCUUUGGAUGGGCCCGCGUUGGAUUAGCUAGUUGGUAGGGUAAAAGCCUACCAAGGCGACGAUCCAUAGCUGGUCUGAGAGGAUGAUCAGCCACACUGGGACUGAGACACGGCCCAGACUCCUACGGGAGGCAGCAGUGGGGAAUAUUGGACAAUGGGCGAAAGCCUGAUCCAGCAGUGCCGCGUGAGUGAUGAAGGCCUUAGGGUUGUAAAGCUCUUUUACCCGGGAUGAUAAUGACAGUACCGGGAGAAUAAGCUCCGGCUAACUCCGUG